CUGGCUCCCGCGGCCGCCGCCCUGGGCCCAUCUGCCUGCGCCGCUCGGGGCCAGAAGCCCCAGGCGCUCCUGUGCCGAACUGGUAAAGGAGGAGAGAGAGAAACUGGUGGGGAUAAGGUUGGAAACCAGGGAAGGAGAAGCCAACCGUGGGAAAAAGAAAAGAAAGCGCCAGAUAGAUAAGGAUAGAGCAGAGAGAGAAGAAGAACAGAGGAGAAAGGAAAUAGGAUUUCUCAAGGACCUUUGCAUAAAUUUAGAAAACUGCAGGGGCUCGUUCGUAAAGUAAAAUUUCCCGUUGAUUUAAAACUCAAAUGAAGAAAUGCCCAAAAUGAAAGUUGGAGAGUUUUUCAAACUCUACAACAUUGCUUUAGGGCCCAAGUUCAAAAACUCAAAAUUUGUAUUUUUACACGUGAAGUUUUGAAUAAAAGUUGGAUUUGUAUUGUGUUUGUCCUAAAGAACGAAAUUUUAUAAAAUUCAGGACCUAAAUGCAAGCAUUUAUGACACGUCAUAAUGACGGGAUAGAAUCGUCAUAAUGAUUGGAUAGACGUGUCAUGAUGACUUGCAUCUUUUGCACUUUAGUCCCAAGUAAUUUUGAAAGUUACUUUUGUAAAUCAAUUACUUUGCAUAAAAGGGCUUGUACUUUUAUAAAAUUACAUAAGCACCCUUAUUUUCACCAUUUUACCCAAAAUUUUUACAUAUUUCAACACACGCAUUUCCAAUGCAACUUUCGAGUAAAUAUAUAUAUAUUUUUACAAAACAUAAGGUAAGAAAAAUAUAUUUGCAAAACCACCCUUUACUCAUUUCAAAAUUAUCUUAAUACAAAUACAUUUUACAAAAACAACCUUAGGUUUUUCUGUAAUUACAAAAAUACCCUUUUUACUUGCACUUUUAAGUUUUCGAAAGUUUCACAUAACACACAUGAGCUCUACACUAACAAACACAUAUUUCACACUAACAAAAUAUUUGCCUAGCAUUACAAAUACAUGAACUGUCACAGCCUUCCCCCCUAAAAAGAAUCUCGUCCCGAGAUUCGGACGAAAGACUCUUAAGGGAAGAGAAGUAAAUCACCCAUCAAAGGUAGCAGAAAACAAUCACACAGAGAAGAUUUGAGGUUGAUGACGAGAGCAUGAUGAGAUGAGUAUAACGAGAACAUGAAAAGAUUGUACAUAGAUGAGUUUGACAAGAUAAGAGAUUAUACAUAAGGACGAUAAAUGUCGAUGACAUUCAUCACAAAACUCAUGGAUAACAAGUAAGGAUAGUACAAGGGAUUGACAAAGUGAUGUUUGAAAUAUUCUUGCUCAGAGUUUGUUACCUGAAUGAUUUAAAUGAGGUUGAUUGUAAAACAUGCCUAUUGAUGCUGAUGCAAUCAAGGGAUAAUGAUAAGAUGCUUCAAUUCAGAGUGCAAUGCUCGGUAUAUAACCUUGAACAUGAUGCACUGCUGAGAUGUAUGAUUACAAUGAUGAUGCAACAUGAGGAUGAGGAAUCCCAUGCAUGACCAAAAUGAUGCAUAUGCCACAAUGCAAUUACCAUGAUGUUGACCAAAUGAUGUAUACACCAUGAUGCAAGGAUGAUGAUACUUGCAAUGUAUGCUCGUAUAAAAUGCAUGAAGUAUGAUGCAUACCCUCAUGAGUUGAUGAUGCAUAUGACUUGCAUCCUACAACCGUUCUCUCGGAACUAACACCUGGGUAGUCCUAUAUCCUUAGACAAAGAUUAAAAGUUAGGACACUAGUAAGGUUGCAUAAGAAGAGUUUGCAGUGUUGUUACGUCACAUGUACCUAGUCACCAGUGCGCUCCUAAUGGCUCAAUCAUAUGGCUGCAGCACACAUGAGGCCUUAGGUUCCGACACGGCAUCAUGGUCAUGUGAUUAAACACCACCGCAAAAGAGGAAUAACAACCCUAUAGUGCCAAUAGAAACAAGAUAGACUUAGGAAACUCAAGACAACCUAAAGUUAUACUAGAGGCACACCCUUAGUCACUCUACGGAUUUUCCGAUGAUGAUGCAACACCAUACACUAACCAAAGAUGGUACAUGUUAUGAUGCAUGACUUUUGCCGGGAGAAUUGUAUGCAAAAAGUAAUCAUUGUCAUACAUCUUUUAAAUUUAUCCAAAAUCAUCUGAGCAAAAAUUGAAGGUGUAACUUUCAGAUGUUGUAACCAGAAUAACCAAAAAUAUAAGGUACAACAUCGAGAGAGGAUAGAUGGAUCACUAAAUGAUGGAUUGAAGGAUUUGAUGAUAACCAUCAAGGUUUAACCAUCAAAGAAGAAACUCAAUGUUUCUGCCAAAGCAUAUUCAAAGCGAAAUCAAGGGUUUGAUUUAGCUGUCGAGCUAAGAUCGGCGAUAAGGUUCAAACUAGCAGAUUAUGUUGGCUCCUACAACACAAAGUCUAGGCAAGCAUUCAGAUACAAGCACAUAUUUCAGUACAUCAACGUAGCAAACAAGGCAAUCGAAUCAAUCCAAAAUGUCAGGAUGCAUGCAGGUUGUACACGUCCUCACAACCAAAAAUAACUGCCAAGUAAUCUUGGCCUUACGUGGUUAAGUACGGUGGCAUCAUAUAAAUACGUCUCUCCAUAUAUAUAUACUAGUCGUUCUUACGUUCAAGCUUACGUAACGAGGUUAGCAUACCUGCAGAAAAUCACAAUAUAUAUAUAUUGAACCUUUCAUGCCAGCAUGUCAUGAAAGCGCCCCCAAUCAUUACUGUUCACUAUAGAAACAGCAUCUGUACAAUUACCGCCGUACAGACAACGUUAGCAUACGUUAUCGAAACAACGUAUUCACGGGGGGUACCGCAAAAUGCGGGGGUAUGAUCUGCGAUCGCCAUACCCUGCGCCGAACCAUCUACUCCCAAUGUAGUCAACCGAAGUUGUUACAUUGGCAGCAUCUCAAGUAGGCCACUGCUUGAGAAACAGCGUUCGGUUCGCAUCACCGACAGGAAGGCCAAGCUCCCUCAGUUGGCUGAGGAUCCUUACCUUCUUACCUCAUCGUCGAAGAUGUCGUUACAGAAUAUAAGGUUGAGUUGUGCAUGAAUUUAAGUUUUAACAGAAAAGUAAUGCUGGAAGUUAGGAUUAUAUAUAUAUACUAUAGCCACCUCUAUUUCCCUCAUAAACAUUACCCUAGGGCUUUACGUACUAAGCUCAAUCCUUAACGAAUCCAACGUAGUUUUGCCAAAUACUUUGUUGGUCAAACUUUUAUACUGAAAGUAUUUUUAAGGUAAAAUGUAUCUCCAGGGUAACCUUAUAGCUCUGAUACCAGCUGUGGCUGAACCAACCUGAAUUAUACCGGCUCAAGUACGCGAGUCCACUCCAGAGGGCUCCAACGUGCUUCAAACGGUAUAAUCCCUUGGCCUGUCGGGUAACGUCCCGAUAAACCACCGAUACACAGGAUCAAAUAAGGUUACCUCACACGAAGGUGAGUCCAGAGAUACAAUCACCAUCAUAUUUUACAUCAUAGAGAAUUACAUUACAAGAGUUUCCAAAAAGAAGUAUGAAGUUUCACAUUUAGAGAAAAGAUUACAAACUGUAAAACUAGGGUUAAAAGCAGCGGAAAACAUACGCGAAGAAUUACAACACGUCGUCAAGGUGGAUGUCAUGCUAAGCCCAGACACGACAUCACUCGAGAUCAUCAGUAUUGGUCGGGGACGGAUCCCAUUCCUCGGACUAAUCUUCUGGAAAAGCACAGGGCCAUGACAAGGGAAGAAUAGGGUCUUCAAAGGCUUUACCUGAAAAACAUAAAGCUAGCAAGGCUGAGUAUACUAAUACUCAGCAAGGCUUACCCGGGGUUGGGUAUACUUAGCCCAUAACUAGACUUAUGAAAGCUUAUAAUGGUUCUGGGUUUAGUUUCAGCUGAAAAGCAACAAAGAGUAGAUCCUUAACUUCAAGUUUUAGCUUUCAGAUUCUAGUUAAUUAUCCAUUCUAGGUAAGCACCUAUGACUAAGCAAGCAUGGUAUAAUCUUUGGUCAAACAUCAUCUUUGAUAACCAUAAUAUUGCUCUUGUUACUCUAUGUGGAAAAGGGGAUAAGCAGUCUCAUUUCAUCGUGAGAGGCGGACGAUUCCUGAAUCGAGAUUCAACCUUGCAAGGUAAACCUAACUCACACGCUUGGAACACCACAGGGUCGUUCCGAAGCAACCGUUUACCUUUCAUUCCGACUCAUGGAUCAGAUCCACCACAAGCGACUGCAGGAACAUACGCACUUCCAAAGUGCAGGACAUACGUCUGUAGCGCGACUACAAAACCCGUAUUCCUGGUUGCCCUUGCAACACGUAUUUCCUCAGUCGAACAUAAGUAACCAGAAGAAGCAAAACAAGUGGUGGGAGGUAUGUCCACUCCUCGGGCCGAUUGGUUACUAGGCUUACCGCUUACCAUAUUUCGCGGCAUGUGGUUAGUACUUUCAAACACUUAACCCGCACUUCCACACGCUGCGACCUUAACAGAUUCAACAACACAGACGGGGUAUCACCUCAACCAUGAUACCUCACAGAACUCCCGUCCGGUAUCCUUAUAGUGAUAACAGGAAUGUAAACAUUACAACUCCUAUAUCGCGCGAGUGACAGGAAAUCACCCGACUUCUACCGGCCCUAUUAGCAUAGCAGCUAGUCGGACUCAAGAGCUAGUAUCCAUCACAUUGGUUCCUAGGAGAAUGCAACUAGGGUUUCAAGCAAUUCCUAAGAACUUAAUGCAUAGAAUACGUAAAUAGAUAUAGAUUGCAGUGUAAUUAAAAUAGUGGGAUAUGUCCGGGGCUUGCCUUUACUGGUGGGUCUGAAGUCAGAAAUGUUAAUAUCUUCCGAACUUUGGUUCGGGGCUUCCGAUAUUCCCCUGGUGACAUUUACUUGAUCUUCAGGAAUAUCCCCCGUAGACUCUGGGGAGAUCUCGUAGGUACCGUUGCUGAAGUAGUCGUAUCUACAUGUAAUGCAACAUUACAUUCAAGCGUGCACACAAAACUAUUUUAUUUCACAGCAAAAUUGCAAUCCAGCACUUAUAUAACACACUAUUCAUAUAACAACCAAAAGAUCUGAACUAAACCUAGAUAGAGCUUUAGGGGGACAACUAACUAGAAUCAGCUACUUGUUGAGAGUUACAACAGAGCCGAUUGGAAACAACGGGGGGUUUAGCUGAUUGAUGUGCUUAGGUCGUGCCUAACAGAGGCGUGUCUAAUGUGCGAUCUUAUUGAUCUAGGGUUGUGUACUUUGGUUUGUGUAGAAGAUUGAUAGGUACACCGGUUUCCUGAUUGAUCGAUGAAAACAUCGAUCACUUUAGCAGAGGGAUGAUUCCUAAAACAGUUGUCUUAACUGAGAUGUGCUUAAGUGUUAUUCUAGGUAACUAAGUGUGGUUGUAUCGACUCGAUUACGUCAGCACAACUAUUGAGUGACAUACAGUCAAUUGGAGUGUGAUUGAGGAUACAUGACUGAUAGAUAUAGAUAGCCGAUCUCUCAGUCGAUAAAUCGGCUGAUAGAGGUGUGUGGAAUGGAGAUAGGAAAACUAAGAUUGAUCGGCCGUGUUUGACCGAUAUGGCAAGGCAACCAAAAUCGGCUUGGGUCGGCCGAUAGCAAGAACCCUAAGAUCGUGUGUGUCUCUUCGAUACAUCGACUCUGUGUAGUCGAUGUAGGACAGAACAACAGACUUGUAUCGGCAGUAGUCGAUACUAGAAAGGUAACAAUCGUAUCAGCUAACCAGCUGAUAGUAGAAGCAUAUCACAAGAAAUAUAUCGGCUGAUAGCUGUUACGCAGAAAUAUUCUAAACUCAAAGGAAACGAAUGUUUAGCGGUUGAACUGAUAGUCGACGUUGAAGCAUAGCCGUAGAGGUGUAUAAGCUAAGCAACAAAAGUACAUAAACUAACAGGGAUCCUUUUACGAAAAGGAUCUUAAGGAAAUGGCAAUCAAAACAAGGAUAACGUCUUAACGGUAAGGAUAUGAGCACUUCGUGGGAAAGGAUUAACUAGAUAUCGCAUAUCUCUACUUAUGACAUAACUUCUAUAGCUUACGCUUUAGCUAUAAUACAAGCAUACAAUAUAAAGCACAAUAAAACAUUCAUUCCCUAACAUUUGACCUAGACCACACAUCAAAGAUCUCAACUCAAGAUCAUAACAUAAAACUUGUAGAGUUUGACUUAGGGUUUCAAACGAAACUGAUUUUACAUUUUUAUGAACUUCCUAUGAAAAUCUAUGAAAUGUAGAGGUCAUCGAUUUGAAAUACAGAAAGCUUUGGAAAUUUUACAAAGAACACCCUAGAACUUUCCAAAAUAUAGCAAUCAAGUCCCUGGUCCGGGAGAACAGAUAACAGGAAGUUAACGAUGAUAUUCCGGCAAAGGGAUUGCCGGCAUUAAAAGAAUUUAAUAAAACAGGGCAAACCUUGGGGUAGUCUUGGUUGUGGAGAAGAACAGACGGAAAGUGAAUUCCCGUGGCGAACAAGAUUAGCGAGGAGAAGAGCUCGACGGUGACGAAGAGUAGAAGUUGCUAAGUGUCGUGGAUCAUGGGACAAGACAAUGGAGCCGGAUUGGUUCGCUAGGUUGACUCUUCCACAAGCCUCAGGGUUUCCUUGCUCACGGCCAAGCCUCCACUGUUCACGCGCGUGUGCUGCAGAAACAUGGUCCGCACACUCGCGUAGCCUCCGGUAGGAUCACCGUGCUUGGCCGCAUCUUCUAUGUGCUGCUUCCGUUUCGACCUCUGCAUGGGUGGAGGGAGCUCGUCGUGUCUGGCUACUCCGUGGCUCCUCCGAGCUUGUUACGCCCAGUCGUCGCCUUCGCUCCGUAGCUUUUCUUUCCGAUUCGCCAUGCCAUACUCACACCUCCGCCUUCGCGAGGACCGUGGUCUGUCUGUAUUAGGGCCGUGUCUUCCACUGCCUUUUCCUCGACGGCCCCUAAUAUCCAUCACGCGCGACCCUCCUGCACUCAACUCGGUCGUGGCCUGAGCUCGCCCAGCGGGAACACUGCCAUGCGUUGCACGUUGCCGCUCUGCAUGUCGUUGCUCUGCUCGUCAAUGCUUUGCAUAGCUCCACCUCUUUCCUCUGUUGCCGGGCCCGCGCUUCGCUCCGGCCGCUCAACAGCUGCCCACACCGCCAACUCCCGCACGCCAUCGCGCGCACUCUCGCGCCACUCGCUCGGUGCCGCUCACAUUCCUGCCGCUCCAGCACCUGCGCUUGCCCACUCACGCGUGCUGCCUGGAGCCGCCGGCGUUCUGUUCCACCCGCGCACGUGCCUGUUGCGGCCGCCGUUUCCGCUCUGGCGCCGCUCUCCCGUGCACGUCGCGCCCAUACACACCCGCACCGCGCGCGCGUCGUCUUCGCCGUGCCGCCCGCCGUUCAGGGCCCACGCCGGUCAUCCCUGCCUGUGCGCCGCACCUGGUGCCUUUGCCGCUCACCUGCUCCCUUACUGCCACUCGCCCUCCUGUGCCCUGCUUGGGCCGGCCAGCCCGCGCGCCUGCGCUCGCGCACCCACGGCGCACGCCUGCUCCGCUCCUGCGCGCCACCGGAGCCGCGCCGAGCCGCUCUCGCGCAGCGCCCAGGCCUCCCGCGCACGCACGCGCCAGCACGCCCGCCAAGCCGCGCCACCAGCUGCCCUGCGCCACCAGCGCCGCCCGCAUGCCGCGGCUCACGCGCGCUGUCUCGCCAGCCGAGCCGCGCACCGCGCCUGAGCCCGCGCCCCGCGUGGGCCGCUCGCCCAGCGCGCUGCCGCGCGCCGCCGGCCCGCCACUGCCUGGGCCUGUGCCGCUGCUGCCGCCCGGCCGAGCCAGCGCCGCCGCGAGCUGCAGCCGCCCGCGCGCGCCUGGCUCCCGCGGCCGCCGCCCUGGGCCCAUCUGCCUGCGCCGCUCGGGGCCAGAAGCCCCAGGCGCUCCUGUGCCGAACUGGUAAAGGAGGAGAGAGAGAAACUGGUGGGGAUAAGGUUGGAAACCAGGGAAGGAGAAGCCAACCGUGGGAAAAAGAAAAGAAAGCGCCAGAUAGAUAAGGAUAGAGCAGAGAGAGAAGAAG
rnacentral:lncRNA from 1 species